UACGUAGGCAGCGAGCGUUGUUCGGAGUUACUGGGCGUAAAGAGGGCGUAGGCGGUUUUCUCAGGUUGGUGUGAAAUCUCUCAGCUCAACUCUGAAACUGCACUCGAUACUGCUUUGCUUGAGGACUGGAGAGGAGAUUGGAAUUCACGGUGUAGCAGUGAAAUGCGUAGAUAUCGUGAGGAAGACCAGUGGCGAAGGCGGAUCUCUGGACAGUUCCUGACGCUGAGGCGCGAAGGCCAGGGGAGCAAACGGG
rnacentral:rRNA from 1 species